GGAGGGUACUCAGUGGUAGAGUGCAUCCCUAGCAUGCAUGAGGCCCUGGGUUCAAUCCCCAGUGCCUCCA
rnacentral:tRNA from 1 species